rnacentral:rRNA from 1 species
UACAGAGGUCCCAAGCGUUGUUCGGAUUCACUGGGCGUAAAGGGUGCGUAGGUGGUGAGGUAAGUCGGAUGUGAAAGCUCCAAGCUCAACUUGGAAAUGGCAUUGGAAACUACCUUGCUAGAGGGUUUGAGGGGGGACUGGAAUACUUGGUGUAGCAGUGAAAUGCGUAGAUAUCAAGUGGAACACCAGUGGCGAAGGCGAGUCCCUGGAAAACUCCUGACACUGAGGCACGAAAGCUAGGGGAGCAAACAGG